UUUUUACACCCCUUUGUAGGAUCAUGCUCAGUCAAGUUGCAUAAGGGAAAACAAGGGAUUUUGCAAGGUCCUUGUGAUAUUCGACUUGCUUGUGUGUUUAUGCGUCAGUGAAUUUCUGGAUCAGAGUGACUUUUCAUUAAGAGAUUGCAGAAAUCUCUCUGUCUUAAGUGUCUUCAGGUGGCGCUUUUCUGAUCAUCAAUGCUUGAAAAGGGUGAGAAAUCUCAGAAGUCUGAUGGAAGUGAGCGCUUUAAGACAACCUGCUUCUAUCUGAUGUGGAGUUUGCUCUGGCUGUUCAUACUGGUCCUUUUUGCCUGGCCUUUAAGCAUGGCCUUGGCAGGCCUUUAUGGAUUUGUCUCCCCUUUCAUUACGUUGGUGGGACUUGAUGACGUUAGCGAUGCCCUGCUGCAAGGAGUAAAUGUGGGGAGAGAGUGUGCUCAGAACGUCAGAAACGGCAAGCCCAUGUGUUGAAGAUGGCGCUGUCUGGCAAGGAUUCUGCUGCUCACUCCAUCAAAUGUCACACCAUCGUGUUCAUCAAAUGUCACACCAUUGUGAAUUUCUCAUUUUUACACGGUGAAUUAAAGAGCUUUUAUUUCAAUGUAAAA